GGAAGACAGAAAACUUAUAAAGCUGGUGUCCAAAAAUCAUUAUCCAGUAACCAUACUCACCAGUGGUAACAAGAGUAAAUGUAGUAACCAACAUCUGCUUCAAGAUGGUCCAAAGAUGAAUCUGAAAACUUGUAUGGGUAUUAUGUUCAGAGCUGGAAAUGGCCAGAUCCAGUUGGAAAAGUGCUGCAACUGCUUGCCAAGAAUGGCAUUACCAAUCUGACACGAACUGGGGUAAACUUAAAAGAGUACUUAAAUAUCACAAAUAAUUCUUGCUUUAUCCCCUGUAAAUAAUGAAAGAUCAACAUGCAGUCUGCAGAGCAGAUAUUGAGUUUGGUGACCAAGUUUGCCAGCAGUUACAAGGUGCGUGUAAUGAUUUCUCUCUUGUGUACAUGAAGGCUAUGGUACUGCUAAUAAUGGUUUUAAUGUUACAUCUCAGAAUAAUAAUAUUGCAGCUGCUCAGAUAAGUCUUAAGUGAAAACUGAGACCAAGUAUUGAACCCGCAAGUUUGCAGGCUACUGUUAAACCAUGCUGUGCACACUAACUGUGGAGUUUCAAGUUUUCUUUGGGAGAUGGGUGACUAGCACACAAAAGGUAUCUAACAAAUAAUUAAUUUUUUUUAAGAAAAUGUCACCAUUAUUUACAUCCACAUCUCUUAACUAAGAUGAUACAUGAACACAUUCUAAACAUGUAGACCACCUCAGCACUGCACAGAUAUUGGUUCAUUGAGGAGAAUUCGUGGUGUGCUUUGCAGUCACCAAUGAAUGACUAUGAAAUUAUUAUCAUAAUUUAGAGACUGGUCAUGGGGUUUUCAUUGGUAAUUGGAUUUAUGUACCACUACAAAGAAUUAUAGUGCUAUCAUUAAUUCACACACUUUACAACUCAUUAUAGCACACACUAAGCUUUUCAGUUUCUCUUCACUAGCAACUGCUUUUUAACAAAUCCCAACAGUGUUUGUUUUUUCAACAGUGCCUGUCCUUGCUGGCCGGCAACUCCUUCACAACUCUCAUGGUUUUAACUCCCUCAUAUUGUCAACUGAACAAAUUUUCUGGUUUGUGUUUGCUGUGCUGCCUCGGGGCGGACCCAGUAGGAAACACCAUUUCCAGCAGUUCCUCUCUUGUGUGUGUACCUGUUGCUGUGGAAACCAGCUGCCGCAUGUUUUAAACAUGUAAAUAGACAUAGAAUCAGAGUGUUUUCUUUGAAGUGAAAUAUAUGCAGUAUAUUUUCAAUACAUAAACAUUAUAAGAGUAAUGAAACUAGUAAUCCAGAAUUAUCUGAUUUCCAUCUCUCACAAUUGUAUCUGUAAUAGUGGAACUAUGAUGAAGUAUGAGUAUAUUGAAGACGUUGUUAUUUGUGACAAAAACCACUGGAACCGUCAAUUUCUUUACACCACAUAAUGGAAAGCCAUCAUGAAACAUGGGCUUUUUUCUAGCACCUUCAUUAUAACAUAUGAUUCAUAAUCAGCCUCCACUGUUUUCCCAUAAAUUUUGCAUCAGCUGUAUUUGCAGUUUGCUUGAGAAGUUACUUAUGUCUAGUAGUUCAUAAAGGUCCAGGUAACCCACCCUCACUAUCCUGUCAUUGUGAAGGAGAAAUUUCAGAUACCGAAACCUGUGGGUAGUUUAUCCUUCGAAGUUUCAGUCACUGAUAAAGUGUGCAUCACAAUACUACUUCAGAGCUUUUCUGAAACAGAUUUUAUGCAGUACUGUAGAAGAAAUUGGAAAGAAUAUGUUGAAAGACUAUGCUAUGAUAUAAUGCACAGAAUGGACCCCCAGACAGCGUUGAAAGAUUCAGUUGCCAUUUCACUUUUGACCUUUUGCUGAAAAACAAGUAUUCCACUGUUGUAGUGUACAUAUUUAGUGAAAUCAUGAUUAAAUAUACAAAAGUGGUUCAUUGGAAGUGUUGUGUUUUCUGUUUGGUUUGUCCUGAGGGCCAACAGGACCAGUCAGUCUAGAGCUAGUCUUGAGAUGGCAGAAAUGGAAGAGUAGGAGGCUGGUGUGAGAUGGCCACCAGCUUUUAAAAGCAUGAGGAAUAGCCUGUAACCAGACAGAACCUCGUUGAUUUGUGAGAUAGAGAUGACAGCCAGCAAGGACAGGAGCCAUGGAACAUGGAAGCUGAUGGAUUGUGGUGUUGGGAGUGUUGCUAGGCGACAACUGGUGUAGACACAGCAGACUGAGAAGACUUAGUGUAUGCUGUAGUGAACUGUAGAGUGUGUGAAUUACCAAUAGCCAUAUAAUUAAUCAUAGUUGAGAUUUCUAAGAGUCCAGUAAAUAUGAUUACCAAUCCAGACCUCUUCUAUGAUCUUCUAACAUAUGGCAGUAUUUUUUCUUUCCUUUUCUUGCAUGCCUCAUCAUUAAAUAAUCUUGUUAAUAAUACAGACUUAACCUUUACAGUUCUUGCAGCAAUGUAAAUUUCCUACAUUUUUACAAUUUCAAAAAAUGUUACGAAUUCAGGCGGCAGUUGAUCAACUUGUUUAAUACAGUUACACCCACCAUAAACCACUUUCAUUGAAUAAUCAAUGUAGUGGGUUUUUACAUCAUACAAAUGUGAGUGUAUGUGUAAUACUAGCCAAGGAUAAGAGACUGCACAUUUUCAGACUAAGUAUAUCAAUGAUUUUCCAGUUGUUUGUAGUAGUACUGAUAUGUUUCCUUUUGUGCUUUAUGAUUAUGUUCCACUUUCAUUAAUACAUUGCAGUGAAUAACACUCUUGUCCUUGUCCUAAAUAUUUUAUGCUCACUUUAUCAUUUAAAGUACAGGUCGUCUUUGUGUGCCGAGAUAUUAUGUGUUAAUGUUGAGGAGAAGUGUUUGUGUCUAUUGUAACGAUUGAUUUUUUGUGGACUGAUGAAACUUCAGAGCAGUGGCAUAAGGGUUAUGUUGGUCACACAACACUGAGAACAUGAUGCCAUUUCACCAUAUCGAGCAGCAGCAUAUGUAUGUCCUUGUGAAUCGUUCAGCAGCUGUUUGUACAAGAUGUAAUCUGCCGAAGCAUGUAUGAUGAUCUGAUGAAGGAAGAAAUGCUGAAAGCUACAGGUCAAAAUGGAUAUAGUAAACCUGGAGAUGAAGCUAGGACUGCUAGCAUGUCUAUGGUACAGCUGUUAGGUGCUGCAGGAGGCCUACAGAUGGAAUAGAAGUAUUGCGAGAUCACUUGAUUAAAAAGGGCAAUGGAAAACAUAUUGUAUGGCUUCAGAGAAUUCUGAUACAAGCAUGCCAUGUAAAGUUGAACUGUGAAAAAGGUUGCAUGCCAAGCAAAAUGGCUGCAAUGGAACCAGUUCCACACCAUUAUACAUUGAUGAAUCAGUCCAUCCCUGUUGUUCCAUGGAACUUGGAACAAACGAACAUAUUAUUAUACCAGCCAUUCAUAAUGCUCCUGCAUAAGCUUGGAUUUCACCUGCCAGCAGACUCGGGCAAAAUAUCUGUCCGCAUUCCCAACUUCUGGACUGCUGAUGUACUGUUCAGCAUAGCACAGAAACUGGGGCCCCGUUGAUCCUUCAACGUUGAAAUUUGACAUUAGUUUGUUGACUGUUAAAGAAGAUAAUGUGACCAGCCAAGAUGCAGGAGUAGUGGAGUCCAGUCUGGUGGACAGUAGCCUCUUUGCUGUUCCUUGUAUGAAACAGGCUUCCUCAGUGAUCCAGUUUACAUCUCUGCCAGAUUCCAAUCUCAGUUUGACUCCACACAUAACACAGUCAGAGAACAUGCCAAGUACGAAUGCCCUGUCACAGCUGCUGCUACAACCUACCCAACCAAGAGAGCCAGAAGCGGUAACAGGAAAAUGUUCAUCAGAUGCGAGUACAUGUGAAGUUCUGGAGAGUGAAGAGAACACUGGUGUGGUUAAGGCAACAGGUGCUCCUGUUGUAAAGAGAGAAUUCAGUUUCAUCUGAUAUCACUAGGACAUAUGCCAAUGAUGAGGAAUCUUCUGUAUCUCAUGACUAGUCAGUGUGUAGAAAGUGCAUGGGUGUUACAUAAUACACAGCCUUGCAUCCACAAGUCUCUUUAGUUCCUAGUUAUGGAGAAAGUCAGUGGGCCUAGAAGUGAUACAAGUCUUCCGACUGCAAAGAAUAGUUUUCUUCUGAAAUUUAAACUUUUUGACACUUUCUAAUAUUUUCUCAUGAUGCUUACAAUCGGAUGUCGUGUAUCUAAAUGACAACUUUGUUUUUCAGAAAUGAAUCUGAAAACAAUAGGAUUGUACAUGCAAACAAGACAGUCAUUUUUUCAAGUCAUUCAUAGUCAGUCUGAAAUGUCAUUUGAUACUGUAUAAUCUCAGCAGUUGGUAAAGUGUCAUGAAAUAGAUAAGCAAGACUCAAGCAUAUCUACCAUAUCUGCUAUUUAGGGUUUGUCACAUGGUCCUAACACAGUGAACUCUAGUACAGAUUACAGCUUGUGGUGUACUGGCAGCACAUGCAGUACAUGAAAGGUCAAGACCAAAGUCAAAGUCAGUCAGUUAUCACUGAUAUGUCUUAAUGGUUACAUUAUUUACCCUGCAUGCACUUUAACCAGUACCAACAAUCGCUUACCAUGGCAAGAGCUAGUCUUAUUAUGUCAUAAUGAUGAAAUUUUGUGUACCUUUACUCACCAUUGUCUCUUCUAGUACUGUUUCAUUAGAAAGCUUUUAUGUUCUUCAGGCUAGCAAGAUCUAACAUCUGCUGUGCCUUGGGAACAGCUUAAUCCAUGAAUGAAAUUCACUUCAGGAACCCUCUCCAGUUGUUGAUUAAGUUGGAAGCUUGCUUCUGAUCUGGUAUUUGGUUGGUUACAGAGUAAGGAAGUUAGUUUUUAACUGGCAUUUCCUCCAUACCAGAUACUGUCUUGAAAUGUUUCGAUUAUAAAUAAUUAUGUAAUGUGAGUAGUAAUACUUUUAUUAUAGAAAACAUUUUGUUGUCUAUUGGCAUCUUAAAAUAUUGUGACAUGCUGGAUGAAAGCGAGAAGAGGGGAAUUGCAAGAGGUGGCUGUUGCUAGGCAAAGGCUGGUAAACAAGUUCCUGCAGCAACAGAUUCAUGACACAACAGAGGAAUUGUUGGGUGUUUUCUAUGAAGUCCAUGCUGUGGUGAUAUAACGAGAGCCAGCAGUAAUUUAGCAGUCAUUUGAUUGGUGAGCCAGCCUUGAAUUGGAGGUUGGAGCCAACAGUUAGUUGAUGGUUAGUAGUUGCAACUGAAGGGUGCCAGCUGGCAAGGAUGUUAGCAUGGAAGCAGAGGAGUAUCCAUUGUUGGGAGCCACUAACAAGCAAUGGGCACAUGAAGACAGCAGACUGGGAAGAUUUAGUGUAUGCUAUAGUAAUUUGUAGUGUGUGUAAUUAGUUGCAGCAUUAUAAUUCUUUGUAGUUACAAGUUAUUAGGGUUAAGUAAGUCCAAUUAUGAAUCCAAACCUUGCAUCUAGUCACUAACAUGUGACAGUAUAGUAGGAAGGUUAGUGAAAUGACAGGUGAUUUAUGGUGACUAUGAUAUAGAUGCAGUAUAGGAAAGAAAAAUAACACGUAACUGAUAAACGAGAGGUAGAAGGCAGGGUUGACCCCAAAUGUAAGCAUCACCCCAUGAAGGUGUAUGAUGGAUAUAGAGGUAACAAACACUACAUUCUCCACCUUGGCAGUGCAGUACAUAGAGUUGAACAAUGACCUGCAGAGUCUGGCAAAUGUUUCCCAGGGAAAGAGAUCCCUUUACCCACUGGACAGGAGACUAUGUGGGGUCCCCAUAGUAGGUCUGAAUAUAGCAGGAAAACAUAGAAGUCCCUGCCUUAGCUGGGAAUUGAACCCUGGCUCUCUAGAAUGUAACCACUCACUCUACUUACUGAGCCCUACUAGCUCAUGAAUGAAGAGAGAAAGUACUGUGACAUGAUGACUGAAAAAUUGUCUGUUGCUAGGUAAUGGCUUGAUAAACAAGCAAGCUCUUGCUAGGCAGCAGCUUGCUUACAUGUCACACAGCAAUUGAGGAGCCUUUGGUAAUGAUGUUUUGUAUGCAGCCCAUCCCAGGAGCCCCUGGGCGAAUAAGUCAGUGAUGGCUAGGAGGCCAUGAGUUAGUUUGCAAGCCAGCUGUAACUUAGCAACACCUAGUGAAGACUAACCAAACAACCUCUGGAGAAGACAUAGAAGACUAUGUGUGCUACAGUGUGGUGAUUUGUAGAGUGUAUUACACGAGGGUCAUACUGAAAGUCAUGAGCAACAGUUUUUUAUAAAGUAAC